rnacentral:rRNA from 1 species
ACGGAGGAUGCAAGCGUUAUCCGGAUUCAUUGGGUUUAAAGGGUGCGCAGGUGGGCUUGUAAGUCAGUGGUGAAAUACUGCCGCUUAACGGUAGAACUGCCAUUGAUACUGCAAGUCUUGAAUAUGGUUGAGGUAGGCGGAAUGUGUUGUGUAGCGGUGAAAUGCAUAGAUAUGACACAGAACGCCGAUUGCGAAGGCAGCUUACUAAGCCAUUAUUGACGCUGAGGCACGAAAGCGUGGGGAGCGAACAGG